rnacentral:rRNA from 1 species
CAGCAGCCGCGGUAAUACGUAGGUGGCAAGCGUUGUCCGGAAUUAUUGGGCGUAAAGGGCUCGCAGGCGGUUUCUUAAGUCUGAUGUGAAAGCCCCCGGCUCAACCGGGGAGGGUCCUUGGAAACUGGGAAACUUGAGUGCAGAAGAGGAGAGUGGAAUUCCACGCGUAGCGGUGAAAUGCGUAGAGAUGUGGAGGAACACCAGUGGCGAAGGCGACUCUCUGGUCUGUAACUGACGCUGAGGAGCGAAGGCGUGGGGAGCGAACAGGAUUAGAUACCCCCGUAGUCCCUGUCUCUUAUAC